rnacentral:lncRNA from 1 species
UCUCAUCUUUCUUUGGCUAUACUUGUAGCCAGCCAUAUUAGCUCCACAUUCCACCCUUUUUUAUUUUGACGAAAAAGGCAGUCAUCAGUCGCCCCCUUUCCUAUUUAGCUUUGCUUGCUGCCUAUUAUGAGAAUAGGUCCCGGUUCAAGCGGCCCGCCUUUCAUCAUCAUCUAUACCAGCUGCCACGCACGAUCCCAUAGGAAC